rnacentral:tRNA from 2 species
GCUCCCGUAGCCCAAUCGGCAGAGGCAGGCGACUUAAAAUCGCCUCAGUCUGGGUUCGAAUCCCAGCGGGAGCACCC